GGUUGCCUGGUGAUUAUGGAAUAAGCAGCGGACUUACAGACACUCAGCGUCCAGGCGCACCAGGCCACCACAUCCCAGACAUGAGUACCUGUGCAAAAUGCAUUCAUUCCUCCAUCUUGGACGAGUUUACUGAGCACCUGUGAUGUGCCAGGCACUAGGGGUGCUGCAGCGGAAGAGCUAAGCAUUGAGGGAGACCAGAACUGCCUUCUGAAUGCCAUUAUGACUUGACUCAGCUGGGAACCACGAGAGGACGA
rnacentral:lncRNA from 1 species